rnacentral:rRNA from 1 species
AUUGAACGCUGGCGGCAGGCCUAACCCAUGCAAGUCGAACGAGUGGCGGACGGGUGAGUAAUGUCUGGGAUACUGCCCCAUGGAGGGGGAUAACUACUGGAAACGGUAGCUAAUACCGCCUACCAUCGGAUGUGCCCAGAUGGGAUGAGCUUGUAGGUGAGGUAACGGCUCACCUAGGCGACGAUCCCUAGCUGGUCUGAGAGGAUGACCAGCCAAUCGGGAACGGGGACACGGUCAAGACUCUAACGGGAGGCAGCAGUGGGGAAUAUUGGACAAUGGGCGAAAGCCUGAGCCAGACAGGCCGCUUGGGUUAAGAAGGUCUUCGGAUUGUAAAGCACUUUAAGUUGGGAGGCGUUACCAACAGAAUAAGCACCGGCUAACUUCGUGCCAGCAGCCGCGGUAAUUC